UACGAAGGGAGCGAGCGUUGUUCGGAAUCACUGGGCGUAAAGCGUGCGUAGGCGGUUUUGUAAGUAAGAAGUGAAAGCCUGGGGCUCAACCUCAGAAUUGCUUUUUAGACUGCAAAGCUAGAGUAUUGGAGAGGUUAGUGGAAUUCCGAGUGUAGAGGUGAAAUUCGCAGAUAUUCGGAGGAACACCAGUGGCGAAGGCGACUAACUGGACAAUUACUGACGCUGAGGCACGAAAGCGUGGGGAUCAAACAGG
rnacentral:rRNA from 1 species